GGCCGCAGGCGGCCGCUCCGAGCGCUGCCCCGCGGGCGGGCUGGCCGCAGGCAGCCGGCAGGAGCUGCCACAAGAAAUGUUACGUGAUUUCUACUUGUUAGCGCAGAGCAUGGCGAUUUCCGUUAAACGUCCCUGGUGCUCUGCGUACAAAUAGAGUCUGAUGGGCCGCAGGCAUCCAAACGCGAGAGGAAACAAACCCACGAUUUAUGAUCGUCAACUCCUCGUUCUCCACAUUAAUGACAGCACAAAACAUCUGCUGUCAGAACAACUGUUCCCGCGUCAGCAACGGUGUCUUCACUAAAGCUACGCUGUGCGUGAGCUUGGCUCAUCUGACUGAGCUCUCUCCUGGUACGCACUUCCCUCCCUUUGGAGUUUGUCAAGAUGCAGUGGCUGAUGUGAAGAUUUGCAUGACCUGCCUGCACUGUCAGAGCUGACUCAGAACAUUCUUCAGCUGAAUAAAGCUUUUUAACCAGAAAA